rnacentral:lncRNA from 1 species
ACUUCUUUUUUUUUUUUUUUUAAGAUUUUAUGUAUUUAUUCAUGAGAGACAGAGAGAGAGAGAGAGAGAGAGAGAGAAAGCCGAGCGAGAGAGAGAAAGCCACUUCUAAUAUACAUCUGCAUGGGCCAAGUGGGCUCCAGCAGCCAGAGAAACACCUGGAAGGAAGAGCCACAGGUGCUGGCAGCUGCAGUCUGUCAAGUUGGCAUUCAUGGGCACACUGAUGAGAGGGUUGAGCAUCCAUGGCAUGUGCUGCAGCCUUGUUCAUCAAAGUGUGUCCGUGGACCAGCGUCCGUUAGCAUCACUUGAGAGCUUUACUGGAAAUGUACAAUCUCAGGUACCACCCCAGCCCUACAAAAUCAUAAUCUGAUUUUAAAAUAUCCCUAGGUGAUAAAUAGACACAUCGAAGUUUGGGAAGCACUUGACUACAGGAUUUUUUCCAAAUAUAGUCAUUCAUUCAACAGACGUUUAUGGAGAAUCUUGACGGUGCCAGGCACCCUGCUAGGUACUGAGGAGUCAAAGAUAAGAGAAGUCCCAGAUGGGGCCUUUGAAGGCACUUAAAUACUGUGGAGUUGGUCUGUUGUUAAGGUAGGUACACUCGGUCCGGGGAGGUCCUCUCUGGGGCACACAACUCUACUCAGCUUAUGUGAAAGGAGCUGUCUAAGCUGAGUCCAUAAGGAUUGGGAGGACUUAUCCAGGUGAAGAAACCAGAAGAACAUGUAGGGAUGAGGAAAUAACAUGUACCAGGAGUUGGAGGCCAGAAAGAGAGCAUCCAGCCAUUUUGGCGCUACCAGUAGAGGCAGAUACCACUUCAUUCAGGGGACAUAUUCUUUGAGAUGGGAUGGAGGUGGGAGCUAACUGCAUUGGUAUCCCAUAGGGUCCAUAGAGCAUAGUGUUUAUGGAUUGUGUUCUGGGCAUCCUGUUCUGUCCAUCACUUUAAUACCCCCUUAAAGUUCCCUAAACCGGGCAGCCCGGUUCAGCACCACCUUCGGCCCAGGGUAUGAUCCUGGAGUCCUAGGAUCGAGUCCCGCAUCCAGCUCCCUGCAUGGAGCCUGCUUCUCCCUCUGCCUGUGUCUCUGCCUCUCUCUCUCUGUCUCUCGUGAAUAAAUAAAUAAAAUUUAAAAAUAAAUAAAGUUCCCUAAACCUUGACAUGACAUGACUAUAGCUGUUCUUCAUCUCAUCACACUCUCUGGGACACAAUGAUGACACUAAAGACUUCCAUCAGUCUUUCCAUCAAUCCUCAAGAGCUGGCUGGUCUUUACCCUCUGAUUAUUUGUUUCCUUUGAGACGUCUUCACUUUAACCUUCCCUUCUUGAGAAGCUCUUCUCCAACCUUUAGGAUCGUGUUAACCUUUUCAGGUAAAGGAAUAAUGGUAACAUCAGAUAGACUGGGUUUGUAAUACAGACUCCAUUCUUGGUUUGAACUUGGACAGGUUGCCUAACCUUUCUGCAAUACAGUUCCAUCAUCUUUUUUUUUUCCAUCAUCUUUUUAAAAAGAUUUUAUUUAUUCAUGACAGACACAGAGAAAGGCAGAGGGAGAAGCAGGCUCCCCACGGGGAGCCCAAUGCAGGACUCGAUCCCAGGACCCCAGGAUCAUACCCUGACCCAAAGGCAAAUGCUCAACCACUGGGCCACCCAGGUGCCCUCCAGUUCCAGCAUUUGUAAGUAACGCUAUGGUAGAUAUUACUAACACUCAGGUAUUGUUUCUGCUUUCUCCUUCUGGUACACUUCAAGCCCCCAUGAAUGGGUGUGGUCUGUUUGGACCCCUGAAAAAUGGCACAGGCCAGUUCUGUGCUGAAGAUGCAAAGAACCAGUAUGUGAUUCUCCAUCCUCUACUCUUAGGGCAGCACCGCUGGAGCUUCAUAUUAAAGUAGCGGCUUCAUUAGAUGGGGGAACCAUCUGUCACCCCGGGGUCUUACACGCUGACUUCAUGACACAGCCCACUCCCAUCCCCCCCCUACUCAUUGCCAGUUGUAUUGUGUGUGUUAUGAGAAUUGUAAGUAAACCUUGUUUGUUUUAAGACAUUGAGUUGUGGGAAUUGGUCAUCACAAAGCAGAAGCUGACCUAGUCUGAUACAUUUAUUGUAUUGUAAGGAUUUAAUGAGAUACGCCUUCACGCAGUGCCUGGCACAAAGAAAAUGCUCAAUAAACAGCGGCGACUAUUAAUGUUCUUCAAGGCCAACGUGAAGUGACAUAGAUUCAAUGAUGCUGUGCUUCAUCUCCUUCUGUUUCCUUGUCUGACAUAAUUAGCUGCCCCUCCUCUGCCCUCUGACAGCGCCUUCCACAUACCACUGCACACCUAGAACUGCGGCAAUUUAUGCGUUAGUGUCUCUCCCACACCGGCUCUUAGAAUCUCCAACAAUGGAAUGAUGUCUUUUUUAUUCCUGCCAUUUUCCCCCAUAUCAGAGCACGGCACACGGCACUAGAGUGGGUGUUUAGAGAAAAACAUAUCAUAUGAAGUUGAGUGAACUGCAUUAGCUUGACUAUCUCUAUAGCUAGGGCAGCUACCAUGAGCCUUGUACUUAUUUUUCCGCCUUCCAGACCUUUAUUUCAUUCUGUUAAUUACAUUCUAUCCAAUACGUCUCAAAUACUGAGUAUUCAGGGCUGUGCAGCCCGGCGGUCAGCAGACUUUUUCCAUAAAGAGCCAGGGAGUAAAUAUUUUAGACUUUACAGAUUAAGUUCUCUGUCAUACUACUCAGCUCUGCUUUUGUAAAGUCGAAUUGGCCAGAGAAGACAUAUGAGUGGAGGGAUGUUGCUCUGUUUUAAUAAAACUGUAUUUAUAAAAGCAGGAGAUGGGCCAGACUUGGCCUGUGGACAGUAUUUGGCUGAUUUUUUUAAAAAUCUAGACAGACAGGGGCUGGGACACCUGGGUGGCUCAAUGGUUGAACGUCUGCCUUCAGCUCAGAGCAUGAUCCCAGGGUCCUGGGAUCGAGUGUCGCACUAGACUCCCUGCAUGGAGCCUGCUUUUUCCUCUGUCUAUGUCUCUGCUUCUCUCUGGGUAUCUCUCAUGAAUAAAUAAAUCUUAAAAAUCUUAAAGAAAAAA